GUAGGGAAUAUUGCGCAAUGGGCGAAAGCCUGACGCAGCGAUGCCGCGUGAGUGACGAAGGUCUUAGGAUUGUAAAGCUCUUUUCUGAGGGAAGAACGGUCCGGGCAGGAAAUGGUCCGGGCGUGACGGUACCUCAGGAAUAAGGAACGGCUAACUCCGUGCCAGCAGCCGCGGUAAUACGGAGGUUCCAAGCGUUGUUCGGAAUUACUGGGCGUAAAGGGAGCGCAGGCGGACAGGUCAGUUUAAAGUGGAAUCCCAGGGCUCAACCCUGGACGUGCUUUGGAUACUGCCUGUCUUGAGUUCGUGAGAGGAAAGUGGAAUUCAGGGUGUAGCGGUGAAAUGCUUAGAUAUCCUGAGGAACACCAGUGGCGAAAGCGACUUUCUGGCACGAAACUGACGCUGAGGCUCGAAAGCAUGGGUAGCGAACGGGAUUAGAAACCCCAGUAGUCC
rnacentral:rRNA from 1 species